UACGUUGAGCGGACACGCACAGUGAUAGCCGGAAGCAUCGAUGGUAGGAAAAUAAAAAUCGAUAGAAUCCACCUUAAUUCGCGAGUGUAAACCUCACUCUUCUUUUCGCGACCGUGGACUCGACUCUCUUCGUUUUCGCAGUGCCACAGUUACGGGGGAUGAACGGCAGUGAGCAGAACAGCCGCUAUAUUUGAGCGAAGUUGCUCGGUAGGGGUUUAGCUGACGUGUGGAGAAGUUGAGAGUGCCAGAGACUGAGCAGAUAAACAAACACAAACAAGCCUGCCCGAUCCGAGCAGGAACCCCAGCAGCGGCAGCAGCAGCAGCAGCAGCAGCGCGGAGACAUGUCAGGGAGAGUGGCUUUCCUCUGCUGAGCCCCACUAUGACCCACGGGACAGAGUGACUUCAACUGAAACUAGCUCGAUGUCAACUGUCAACACUGGCACACAAAGACUGAAGGAAGCACAACACGAGGAGCAGCCAUAGUCUCAAGAAGCAAAGCGCUCCUCGCUUGGUUAACACACAACUAAGCUAGCGUGGACCACCAAUGAGAUUAGCCUCCAGGUUUCAACUGUGACUAAACCAAUUCAUAUUUCAGUGCAAGGAGACAGAGCACCACCACCACAAACACACACCACCCCUGGUGUCAGAAGUGGGAUCACCAUGGCCCACCAGGCAACCCCUAGCUCCCAGAAGGCCCUGAUGAUGGAGCUGAAGUCUCUGCAGGAGCAGCCAGUGGAGGGCUUCCGCAUCACUCUAGUGGAGGAAUCUGAUCUCUACAACUGGGAAGUGGCCAUCUUUGGGCCCCCGAACACGCUGUACGAGGGAGGCUACUUUAAGGCUCACAUCAAGUUUCCAGUUGAUUAUCCAUACUCCCCGCCAACCUUCCGCUUCCUCACAAAGAUGUGGCACCCCAACAUUUAUGAGAAUGGUGACGUGUGCAUCUCCAUCCUACACCCUCCCGUCGAUGACCCUCAGAGCGGAGAGUUGCCCUCUGAAAGAUGGAACCCCACCCAGAACGUCAGGACUAUCCUGCUGAGUGUGAUCUCACUGCUCAAUGAGCCCAACACAUUCUCUCCAGCCAACGUUGAUGCCUCCGUCAUGUUUCGCAAAUGGAGAGACAGCAAAGGCAAGGACAAGGAGUAUGCAGAGAUUAUCAGGAAGCAGGUGUUGUCAACAACAGCAGAAGCAGAGCGAGAUGGCGUCAAAGUGCCAACCACACUGGCAGAGUACUGUGUCCAGACCAGGGUUCCUUCCCAGGACAGCAGUUCAGACCUUCUCUACGACGACCUCUAUGAUGAUGACAUGGAGGAGGAGGAGGAGGACGACGACGACAGUGAGCUGGAAUCUGUUGGUGAAGCCGGAGGGCUUAGCACCCUGGAUGAUGACGGAAUGUCCAGCAGAUGCUACGAUAACCAGGACGACUCUGGAAACGAAGACUCAUGAUGAUCUGGAUUAUAACUCCUCCCUGACAACCCCCCACAGCUCCUCCUCCUCCCUCCUUCUUUUAUGUGUUAAGUUACAAUUUUGUAUGUUCGUCUACGUUUCAUGUGAGUGUGUGUUUGUGUGUGUGUGUGUGUGUGCGCACUGGAGAGCGGACAUUCUCCGGAGACUGUGGGCCACAGAUGUCUGCCAGCCUCCCAGUUAAAUCUCUGGAUAAUGUCUGAGUGAGCUCAUGUGAGAACACAGCAGGAGAAUCUCUGGAGGAUCCACAGCAAGUGAACGGGCGAGUGUCCGGCCAGGCUCCACCCGCUCAACUGGACACUCUGGAGAUUUUCCUGCUGAGCCACACAUCUGACCAAGAGAAUCUCCCGCUGCUUUUGUCAUACGUGAACGGCAAACUCCACAGAAUGUCCCCGCCCACUUUUCGUUGGACAUUAUCCAGAGUUAAGUUGUGAAAAUGGCUUGUGUGUGCUUGUGCAAGUUUGCAUCCACAGUGGGGUCAAAAGUCUACUGCCAAAACCUUUUCAUCAUUUAUUUAACUAAUACCGUGGUUUGGUCAAACAAUAGCUCUCAUUACAUAUGUUUGUUGACUAUGUCUUUUUCUAAAAGUCAGAUUUGGUGUUUCCACCGUUUGCCUUAAUUACAGUUUGCACUCUGUCAAGAAAAAAUAGUGUGUUUUUAAUGUUGGGUUACUUUUAAAGGUCCAGUGUGUAAUACUUGUGAGGGUUAAUAUAAUAGAGCUCUGUCAGAGGAGUCCUCCAUUUGUUAAAAUCUCCAGUCUCACAUCAGAUGUCACUAACUCGUACACACUGGACCUUUAAUGUUUUUAAUAUGUCUCCAUUAAGGAAGCUGGAGAUUAGUCCUCUGCCAAGUGAGUGAUUGAUCAUGUACAAGACACCUUAAAGGGAUAGUUGAGGUUUUAUGAAGUGAGAGAGUGUGAGGGUCUCACAUACAGUCGACAUUCGGUGUGCUGCCUGUUUGGAGAUGGAGACGGGAGAACCAGAACAUGACUUGUGCAUUGCUGUGAUGUGAGCUUUUCAGCUUUACUAUGACCUUUAACUUGGGCACAAUAUUCUGUCUACAUAUUCUGACUCGCAGUGUGAGUUAUAUUUCAUCUGGCAUGUCGAAUAGAAAGUAUUUCAAAUAUAGCAUACAAGAAUUUCAAAUUUGAUUGAAACCUGUGGUGUACUAGAGGCGGGGUUUAGUGUGAAGUGACGUUCAGCAGCUUUUCUAUACAUCCAACAUGGCAGCCACUGAAGAGUUGCUGUCUUUUAGACGCGACUGUUGCUUCCAUUUGAAGCGACUUGCUUCACAGAGCCCCGCGGGGCAAAGGUCAUAAAACGCCAUUAUAGCCAUCGCUCCUAGAAAACUACAAGCACGUUUGUCUGUAUACGUCAUGCUGAUCAUUGGUCUGGUUGGUUGUAGGUUUAUCUGAUUGCAUACAGAGUCAGACUCUGGAUAUGCAGUCUGACAUUAGGGAUGCUUCGCUACUUUCUUUGCUGUCCCCGUUCAAAACGAUGCUCAUGCUCUGGUUCUCCAGUCUCCCUCUCCAAACAGGCAGCAACCACUGAACGCUGGUUACUGCAUGUGAGUAAGUAACUUACACAUCCCCCACUUCAAAACCAGAACCUUAAAAUCCCUGUACUGUCCUUUAAAAGGGAUAGUUCAGGUUUUUAGAUAUAUAUGUAUAUAUAUAUACAUAUAUAUAUGUAUAUAUAUACAUAUAUAUAUAUAUAUAUAUAUAUCUACAUAUAUAUAUAUAUAUAUAUCUACAUAUAUAUACAUAUACAUACAUACGUGUGUAUAUAUAUAUGUGUGUGUGUGUGUGUUUUUGUGUUUGCUGCAUUAUCUCAUUAUUAGACGGACUUUUCUAAAUGGAAACUAAAUUUUGUGAAGCUGCUGCUUCACACUUGAACUUUUCGAACACCAAGUAUCACAUUUGAAGCAGCAGUGCAUCAACGACGUCUGUGUGCUGUGAUGUAAAAUCACACUUUUCUCUUUGACUUUGUAAAUGAUUUACAGAGCAACACAAACUUAAGAUUCUGGUCACAAAUGGACGUCUAAGGGCGAGGUAAAGUGACAAAUACUGCACAUUCUUAGGAUACAUCACAGUCUUCAGCAGGCUUAUUAGAUGAGCCGUUUGCUAAGUGGCUACAUUUUCAUUGUUUGCCUUCUGUCCCUGCGGGGCAGUCAUGUAUUCAGUCACGGCGAGGUUGCAUGUCUGACGCUGGUUGCUGGUUUGGGGGGCGGGGUUUGGCAACCACCUUUGCGUGGUCACUGCUCGUGACGUGUCAGUCCUUCAUACAACCACACAGUUGUUGAUAAUACCCAGUGAGCGAAUGAGCAAGCUUGUUGCAUGUUGAAGCCAGGCUCCUCCCCCUCACCUGGCUCCUCCAUAGAUUCUCGUGUCUGGAGUGUUUGAUAAAUGAUGAAAACAAAGCGUGUCUGUGGUGGUCUCUUGAAGCCCACUGCUGCUGUUGACACUGUCUCUCCACCAUGUUGUUGUAUGUCUCUUGUCGCCAUUCUGUCCUUUUUUUCCCCCGCUUGUUCUUGUAUUCUCUGGGAUGGCUCACACCGUCUCAUUCGAUGGAAGUGACCAGCUUGUGUUGUCACACUGUCCAUCAGUGUGUCCCAUGGCAGAACUCCUCUGUCCCUCCAGCGCCUAUCUUGUCAACUUUGAUACAAUCGAUGUACUUUUACAGACACAGACUCCCCUGUGGAUUCAUCGCCAACCCCAUCCUGUCCAUUACAUCGGCUUCACAUAAUUGCUCCAAUCAUCGGCGUUUGUUUGGGGACAAAAAGGUUGAGACCUUUUACUCGCAUCACCUCCUCGACCUCUCUCUGCCUCUUAAACCUCAGGGCCUUGUCAGACUCUCGCUGAGAGGGAAACACAAACUUAAUACACAAACUGCUCCUCACCUCCA